rnacentral:rRNA from 1 species
UACGUAGGGUGCAAGCGUUAAUCGGAAUUACUGGGCGUAAAGCGUGCGCAGGCGGUUUUGUAAGACAGAGGUGAAAUCCCCGGGCUCAACCUGGGAACUGCCUUUGUGACUGCAAGGCUUGAGUGCGGCAGAGGGGGAUGGAAUUCCGCGUGUAGCGGUGAAAUGCGUAGAUAUUGGGAGGAACACCGGUGGCGAAGGCGGCCCCCUGGACCGGUACUGACGCUGAGGCGCGAAAGCGUGGGUAGCAAACGGG